rnacentral:rRNA from 1 species
UACGAAGGGGGCUAGCGUUGCUCGGAAUUACUGGGCGUAAAGGGCGCGUAGGCGGGUCGUCAAGUUGGGGGUGAAAGCCCGGGGCUCAACCUCGGAAUUGCCUUCAAAACUGACGACCUAGAGUAUGGGAGAGGUGUGUGGAACUCCGAGUGUAGAGGUGAAAUUCGUAGAUAUUCGGAAGAACACCAGUGGCGAAGGCGACACACUGGCCCAUUACUGACGCUGAGGUGCGAAAGCGUGGGGAGCAAACAGG